ACCUGGCUGGCUCAGUCAGUAGAGCAUGAGACUCUUGAACUCAGGGUUGUGAGUUCAAGACCCACGGUGGGCA
rnacentral:tRNA from 1 species